rnacentral:rRNA from 1 species
GACGGGGCCGCGACAAGCGGUGGAGUAUGUGGUUUAAUUCGAUGCAACGCGAAGAACUUACCUGGUCUUGACAUCCCGGAGACCUUUAGGAACUAGGGGUGCUUCCAUCUGGAAGAAUCUGGAGACAGGUGCUGCAUGGCUGUCGUCAGCUCGUGUCGUGAGAUGUUGGGUUAAGUCCCGCAACGAGCGCAACCCUUGCCUUUAGUUGCCAGCAGUUCGGCUGGGCACUCUAAAGGGACUGCCGGUGUUAAACCGGAGGAAGUGGGGAUGACGUCAAGUCCUCAUGGCCUUUAUGACCAGGGCUACACACGUACUACAAUGGCCGAUACAAAGGGCAGCGACACUGCGAGGUGAAGCCAAUCCCGUAAAAUCGGUCUCAGUCCGGAUUGGAGUCUGCAACUCGACUCCAUGAAGUUGGAAUCGCUAGUAAUCGUGGAUCAGCAUGCCACGGUGAAUACGUUCCCGGGCCUU